AGUUGAACGCUUGUCGUCUGUGAUAACCUGCUUCCAACCUUGACAUACAAGUGAGCCUCAUCAGAUUUGUGUUUUGGCUGGCAUCUUCAGUUGCCUUCUAGAAAAAAUUAUUCCUUUUUAAUGAGGAGUGUUUCCAAGAGUGCCAAGCUGGUUUUGAAGAGUAAAGCGAUGCUGAUGGCAGAAGACGACCGCCUUGUUCCGCCUCAUACCUGAGCCCAGGAAGCGAAAUAUUCGUUUGUUUUGUGUGUUUACCCAUGUCGGCCUAACACAUGCCACCGUUUAAUGGAGACUUAGACAAGAUUUAAAAUAGUUUUAUGAUUCUCUGACUCUAUUUGCUGUUGGGCUAACGCCAUUGUCAAACAAUACAGAGAUAUAAAAAGAGAAAAGAAUGAUUCCCCUUCUCUUACCAAUUCAUCCUUCUGAGGUAAGUCGAGUUAUGUACCCAUCCUCUUCUUCAUAUGCUCCUGCAAAUACAUCUUUAUAUUAACACACAAAUACAUAGUGUUUUUACCUUAUAAAAAUAGCUUUAUAUUGCACAGUUUUCUGCAACUUGCUUUAUCACUUACCAGCUUCUCAUGGGGGAAUCCCCCUGGACCAUACAGACAAAUUAUUCAUUUUCAUUUUAAAGAACACCAAAAACUUAAGAUUCUGAUUCACUUUGCAUUAAAAUGUAUUAAAAUGGGGAAGGAAUUUUUUAAAUCGUACUGUAUUCCUAUCUAGUAACAUAAGUUUUCAUUUAUUGAGGUGUUUUUAGGGUGUUUUUUGUUUGUUUUGUUAGUUUGUUUUUUGGCUACACAGCUUGUGCGAUCUCAGUUCUCUGACCAGGGAUUGAACCUGGGCCACGGCAGUGAAAGCCCAGAAUCCUAACCACUAGGCCACCAGGGAACUCUGUUAUUGAGGUUUUCUUUUACAUCUUUCAAGAGGAAAAAAAGGUUUUCAUGUAGCUAUUGUAAUUCUUUGUUAAAUUUUUUUUUUUUUUAGAUUUUAUUACUGUCAUGAAAAAGCUUUUAUUUUCCAUUCAUGUUUAAGUGGUUAUCACUAGUAUGGUAGAUUGUACGAUUCGUCAUUAUCUACUUCCUCCGUGGUAAGAGAGGUCUGCUUGUUGGAUAUCAUUUGCAGUACCUUCUUAGAGAUGAAGCACCCAUCCAUCCUGUCCCCAUUUGUGUUGGCCAUGUGACUUGCUUUGGCCAAUGAAUAUAUGAGAUAAACACAGCAAACCGAAGCUUGAAAUUCAAGUGUGUGAUAAUACUUGUCCUCUUGAGCUCCUGCUCUCUGGCAUGAACACGGCCAGGUUGGGGCUACUUCUUCAGCCUAGAUCCUGGAACAGGAAUGCUCGUGAAGCAGACCUGCAGCCAGCCCGUAGCUUGGAGCAGGGUAGCUGCCAACCAUCCAGAUCUGUGAAGGCUGUGUCAUAAUUUACUUUACUUUCAAGUUAAGACGUUCAUUUGCCCAUUGCAUGGAUGCUGACAGAAGACACAACUCCUAGACCAGAGACAAAAGACGGCAGCCAGAGUGAGUGUCAGCACGUUUGUGUUGAUUCCCCGAGUCUUCAUUCCCAUGGUGGGGCCCGGAUACAUGCCUGAACACAAAGUCGGUUGCAUCACAGGAGAGGGACAGUGAACUUGAAAUCCCAUCACGUCAUAGCAAGCAGUAAGCAAGCCUGCUCUUUGCCCCAGAGGACCUUCUGAGUGCACAGGAAAAUACUGGCAGACGGGUUUUCUUGCAGAACGACUGUUCAAUUUCUAUAAAGAUAGAUUCAUCUGUUGUGAACAAGGCUGAAGAUUAUUUUCAUGCAUAAGAUAAAUCACUGGAAGAGACAGUAAAGCAUUCAAAAUGUACUUUAUGUCCUACCAGAGAAAAAUCCAAAUCACUCUUCUCCACAGUGAAUUCAUGGUUUCCUGCAAGAUAAGAUCUCAUCCUGUUAAGGACUUCAUCUUGGAAGAAGAGAGAACAUCAUCUCUCAAGGGAGCUCCAGUAUCAUAAUUCAUAAAAUCAAAUAUAUCAAUAAACACAGCUCUAAUUUUAAAAUAGCCAUCCAAGUCUCUGGAACCUAGAGCCUAAACACUCGAUGUUAAACUGUAGUAUUUUAUAAUAACAUAAAUCUGUAAAAGAGAACAAAUAAUUGUUUAAUUAUUUAAAAGUUUUCAUUCUCAUGAAUAAAAUUUAAAUGCUCA